rnacentral:tRNA from 3 species
AAAAUCCGUCGACUUUUAAAAUCGUGAGGGUUCAAG